CUGACACUUUUUGCUUUGCCAACACAAUAUUUUUUGGUUUUGGUUCAUACAACCUUAAGUAAUCUUUUCUUCACCUUACGGAAAAACCCUAGCGUUUCAGCUAACCCCUUUUGGAAUGUAUCCAAAAGGAAUCUGCUUAAGCUAGCAAUGACCACAUUACAGUGUUACGAAUUUUCAGUAAAUCUGAAUGAUGGUAUAUGGUCCCAAAAUGUUCCAGUUGGGGAUGGAUGUUUCAUGAUCGUUGUUACAGGAGUCAUACCUACACAUUGACAGACACACAUGGACAGACUCUGGAGUUAAGAGAUCUGCCAUUUCUGUGUAUUCAAAAGCCAUUUAAUGGCUUUAAUGAGAAGAAAAUUUCUACUGCUACUAACAGUUAAGCUUCCACAUAUGAUACAGAUAAGAGAGCUCAGUUGAACCAAAUUCCUUCUUUUGAAUAAUCAACAUAUUUUUUUAUGAAACUGAAGAGCUGGAACAGAUCAUCAGAGGUAAGAAGCAACCCUGUUUGACCUUCAGAUCCCAGAAGGGACAGCACUAAAAGCCAUCUGUCUACUUUUAAACUAAAGACAAGUUUACCUCCUGGUGCUGUUCUUCAAGGUAGAAUCUGUACCUCUGUGAGUCAAGAGCAAAGAAGCAAUGGUAAAGUAAACAAACCCAGUGGAAAAAUAAAUGAGCUGUUCUGCAACUAUGCAUCUUUACACUUCUUGGUCCAGUGGCCAGAACUCAGCUGAGCAAACUGCAAAAGCGAAGAAUGGGAUCCUGCAGAGCAUGCAAGAAAAUAAAAUGAUGAAGAAUGGGAACUGGGUGGGUUUAAAGUAUAUAUCGAAAACACUGAAGUACCUUUUAAGAACAAAAACUUUUCAGAAAAAAAAAGGGGGGGGGGAUUUUUUUAAAUGGUUUGUAACUAUGAUAAUUAAGUAAUAAUUAAAUGAAUAUGGAGUAAAA